CUACGGGCCGCUCCAGUGGGGAAUAUUGCACAAUGGACGAAAGUCUGAUGCAGCAACGCCGCGUGGAGGAUGACACAUUUCGGUGCGUAAACUCCUUUUAUAUAGGAAGAUAAUGACGGUACUAUAUGAAUAAGCGCCGGCUAACUCCGUGCCAGCAGCCGCGGUAAUACGGAGGGCGCAAGCGUUACUCGGAAUCACUGGGCGUAAAGAGCGUGUAGGCGGAUAGAUAAGUCAGGAGUGAAAUCCUAUGGCUCAACCAUAGAACUGCUCUUGAAACUGUCUAUCUAGAAUAUGGGAGAGGUAGAUGGAAUUUCUGGUGUAGGGGUAAAAUCCGUAGAGAUCAGAAGGAAUACCGAUUGCGAAGGCGAUCUACUGGAACAUUAUUGACGCUGAGACGCGAAAGCGUGGGGAGCAAACAGGAUUAGAUACCCGUGUAGUC
rnacentral:rRNA from 1 species